rnacentral:snoRNA from 1 species
UCGAUUUUACUAUUCAGAAUUUUUUGUUUAGUUCAUCGAGUCAAUAUUGUGAAAGCAAUGAAAACUAAGCGACUAGGAUGAAGAGUAAAGACAGUUAUUAGUGUUUGAAAUUAAGAGAUUUAUUUCUUGCUGAUGAUAAUGUACGUUUGUAUAUUAAUAACUGUGUUCUGACUGGU